UGUUAUCUUUGGUUCCCCAAAAUCAAAACCAUCUCAUUUUUAUUGAUUCUCCCUAAAAUCAAAACCUUUAAGCAAUCGGUAGUAAGUUAGUGAUGGAUUUGGUUUUAUAAUUGGAGGAAGGAACCUUCUUCACUCAUACCGUGGAAACACUAAUAUUUCUUCUCAAAACCAAGUAUAUUCUUCUGUUUAUUCUCUUUUGAGUGUUUUAUAUCUCCUAUCAAAUCAUUGAAUGCCUGCUGUUACGGCUGCAUAUAUGGAGGUCCUCUCUAAAUUGAAGAUAGCUACUUUGAUAAAGUAAAUACUAUGCAUCAGUAAAGCUUAUGCACUCUUCCGUUCAAUUUCAAGCUUAUACAACUAAUUGUAAUUGAUUUCAGAAGAAAACCACUAAGGCCAAGGACCAGAUUUCAGAAGGUUACACAGUGAAAAUUGAGGGAGAAAUGCACUACUAGCGAGCUGUCUCAGCUCGGAUGAAGCAGAACUUUCAGGAGUAGUCAUUUUGAAAUGCAGCUCAAAAAAUGUAAUUGCAGCCAUGAUCAAAGUAAAGUGCUAAAUGUCAGGCCAACUUUGUAGCGCAGUUCUAGUCAAUGUAACUAGAAGUAACAUGAGACUUACUGUUAUCUAAGAUGUUAUAAUGGAAACGGAGCUUAUGCAAAAAUUGCAUGCUAAAGGAUGUCUACAGUAAGAAAAAAGCAUUCUGGAGUGGCUACUUGUUAGAUCUCUAAAAGUUAAACGACUCCGACAUGCUCUAGUUCUAGUAACUCUACUAAAUAACAGAGUUCAGGCAAGAAUGGGUUGAUUCAAAGAUGUAGAACUGAAAAAGUCCAAGAGAUAAUUAGACAAUCUAAAGAACCAAAUAAGGACAACGAGAGGAAAUACGUGAACAAGAGCAAAUUUUAGACCUCCAAAGCAACUGGACAAACUUUAAGAGCAUCCAAACAGACGGUGGGAAUCUCAGACAUCUAGCUGCACGUGUUGGAAGCCCCAGAACAACAUAAAGCAGGUGAUCUAUUGCCGAGGUUGAAUCUCAGUAGCAUUCCAUAUACACAAUGAUGUGGAAAUUUGAGCAACUUGUUGGACUCUAGAGCAAUUGUACAAACGUUGAGAGCAUCUACACAGACUGACAGAGCAACUUUCUGAUCUCUGACAUCUAGUAAGUAAUUUAUUGCUCUUUCAAACUUCUGCUGCUUCCUGUAGAGCGGCAGCUGCUGAACUCUGGAACCUCAAAUCAGUCUUGAAAUCUUGAGCAAUCUCACGAACCAAUCUCUGAAAUGGGAGUUCGCGAAUCAACAGCUCAGUACUCUUCUGGUAUUUCCUGAUCUCACGAAGAGCGACGGUUCCUGGCCUGAAUCUGUGAGGCUUCUUCACUCCUCCGGUUGCGGGUGCCGAUUUCCGGGCUGCUUUUGUUGCUAAUUGCUUCCUUGGGGCUUUUCCUCCGGUGGAUUUCCUUGCUGUUUGCUUGGUACGAGCCAUUGCUGAAGAUGAAAGUUGAUUGGAUCUGAGAAAAAAAUCAGGGUUUCAGAUAGAAAAUUGUGAGGAAGAAAGAUUUGGGAGUGGGGGGAUACAUAGAGAAGAAGAGUAAGAUUUGGGCGGGAUUGUGUUUUCUUUUGGUUUCUUAUCAACGGCUGAUAAUGAAUUGAAAGGUCUGAAAGGUGUCACACGGAUUGUUGAACUUUUGAUAUCAGUUCACAUGGGGAUGGGGUGUUCAGAAAGGAAACAUUAGGGUCCGUUUGGCUGACCAAUGUUACCAGUGCACAGUAUUGCCACUUACAUGUACAAACAGUGUCGUGCAUGUCUACUUUAACUCCAACUUUUAGCUCCAAAUUUGGGAUUACUUUGCCCCCAACAACAAGUUACCCUCACCACCAACGCCCCAAAAACUUCUCUUUUAGGCCUGUUCCUACUAGGUAUAGCAUAAAAGUUGUUUUGCCAUGCCAUGUCCGUUUCUCCACUACGUUAAAACUGACAAAUUUUAGAUAAAAUAAUAUAUUUGAUAUGAUAAAUA